UACGUAGGGUGCGAGCGUUGUUCGGAAUUACUGGGCGUAAAGAGUGUGUAGGCGGUGUUCCCAGUCUGUUGUGAAAUCUCCCGGCUUAACUGGGAGGGUGCAGCGGAAACUAGAAUGCUAGAGGGUGGGAGAGGUAAGCGGAAUUCCUGGUGUAGCGGUGAAAUGCGUAGAUAUCAGGAGGAACACCUGUGGUGUAGACAGCUUACUGGACCACUUCUGACGCUGAGACACGAAAGCGUGGGUAGCAAACAGG
rnacentral:rRNA from 1 species